rnacentral:rRNA from 1 species
GAUGAACGCUGGCGGCGUGCUUAACACAUGCAAGUCGAACGAAGCAUUUAGGACAGAUUACUUCGGUUUGAAGUUCUUUAUGACUGAGUGGCGGACGGGUGAGUAACGCGUGGGUAACCUGCCUUGUACUGGGGGAUAGCAGCUGGAAACGGCUGGUAAUACCGCAUAAGCGCACAAUGUUGCAUGACAUGGUGUGAAAAACUCCGGUGGUAUAAGAUGGACCCGCGUCUGAUUAGCUAGUUGGUGAGAUAACAGCCCACCAAGGCGACGAUCAGUAGCCGACCUGAGAGGGUGACCGGCCACAUUGGGACUGAGACACGGCCCAGACUCCUACGGGAGGCAGCAGUGGGGAAUAUUGCACAAUGGAGGAAACUCUGAUGCAGCGACGCCGCGUGAGUGAAGAAGUAAUUCGUGAUGUAAAGCUCUAUCAGCAGGGAAGAUAGUGACGGUACCUGACUAAGAAGCUCCGGCUAAAUACGUG